rnacentral:rRNA from 1 species
GAUGAACGCUGGCGGAAUGCUUAACACAUGCAAGUCUUACGCGAAGCUGUGGUUGCCUUGCCUAGCUAAGGCGGACGUGUGGGUAACGCGUAGGGAACUUGCCUUGCAGUCAGGUAUAAUAGCUGGAAAAGACUGAUAAGACCUGGUAAAGGCAGGCAGUCCCACGUCCAGGCUGAUGAAAAGAGAUGCUGCUGGGGAGCCUUGCGGCCUAUUAGCAUGUUGGUGGGGUAACGGCGCACCAAGGCGGUGAUAGGUAGCCGCCCUGCGGGGGUGGAUGGCCACAAGGGGGGUGAGAUGCCGCCGAUACUCCUACGAGGGGCAGCAGUGGAGAAUAUUAGACAAUGGGGGCGACUCUGAUACAGCAGCUCUGUGUGGACGAUGAAGGUUUUGGUAGUGUAAAGUGCUUUCAUCAGAAGAGAAGAAAGUGACGGUACCUGCAGAAGAAGCGACGGCUAAAUACGUG